CAAUAGCGUAUAUUAAAGCUGUUGCGGUUAAAAAGCUCGUAGUUGGAUUUCUGUCAAGGACAACUGGUCCGCCCCUCGGGUGAGCACAUAGUUUGGUCUUGGCAUCUUGUUGGAAACUGUUGCUGCACUUGGUUGUGUGGCGCAGUGUCCAGCACUUUCACUUUGAGGAAAUUGGAGUGUUUCAAGCAGGCACAUGCCUUUGGACACAGUAGCAUGGAAUAAUUAGAUUGGGCUUUUGCUCCAACUUGUCGGUUUCUGGAGCUGAGGUGAGAAUUAAUGGGGAUUGUUGGGGGCAUCCGAAUUUAGCCGUCAGAGGUGAAAUUCUUGGAUCUGCUAAAGACGGACAACUGCGAAAGCGUUUGCCAAGGAUGUUUUCAUUGA
rnacentral:rRNA from 1 species